AAUUACAUAGCAGUGUUGGGUGAUCCCAUGCAAGGGGAUUUAAAAGAGAAUCGGGUGCAAGUCCCGAACGGUCCGGCCACUGUAAAUGGCGAGCAUUUUCUAAAAUACCACUGGAGUGAUCUGGGAAGGUAGAAAAAUGCAUUGACCCAUAAGUCAGGAAACCUGCCUAACACUUAACUGAUAA
rnacentral:ncRNA from 2 species